AGCAAAUUUUUUCCAAAAUUGUACGUGUCCUUACAUUUUCCAUUUAAAGAUUAAUCAUUUUUCCUCGUCACUUUUUAUGGUUGUCCAUGAAUCGCAUACAUGCAUGAUCAGUGGUCUGAGGUAACACGUAUAUUGUUUUUCUUUAAUUUUUUAUGAUAACAGGCUGGAGAAAAGCAUUUUAUAAAUUUAGAAAUAUGUGUUCGAGUUUAUUCUCGACAGUACUUUAUUGUGAUGCAUGUUGUUUCUGAAAUAAUUUCAAUCA